CUCCCUGGGACACAGCGGGGGCUCCAGGGCUCCGCAUUUGCCCCUGCAUCAUGACUCCCUCCGUGGAUCCCUGGACCCCCAUCUCGAGCUCCUUCCGUGGUUCUCUGAGACAAUCCAGGGGAUGGAUGUCGAUCCGCCCAUCUGGCUGAGGGGAGACUGAGUUUCGGAGAAGGAGGAGCCUUGAGCCGACCCCGAGCAGAGCAGGGCGGUGAGUGGGGCUGGGCUGGAGGCGCUGAGCCAGGAGCCCUGUACUGGAGGCCGGGCAGAAGGUCAGCCAGGGGCCUACUGACCACCAGGACGUCUGCCAUCAUCCGCUGCCUCCGUGCCCCCGACCAUUGGGCCAUUCCUUGUCCCCAUCUGUGGGAGGGCCCCUGAGAGGCCCUGGAAGAUCCCAGGCCAGCUUUCAGCAGGUGGAUGGAGCAGGCAGGCCACAUCAGGCACCAAGGCGGCCCCGUUCAUCCCCAUGAGGGCUUCGGUCCAGCUCAUCAGCGGGGAAGGUCAACACCCAUCGCCUCCAGGACCCGAGCCCCUGACGGGUUCUGAACAGGCCCUGGGCUCUGCUGACCUGGGGCCUCUCCCUGCUCCUCCCGCCGUAGUCAGUUCGCCACAUCCCAUCAGGACCGGAGGAGAUGGAGAGAGGUGCCGAGCAUCCUUCUCCAAUGUGGCUGCCUCCACCUCACCUCUGCAGAGAGACACGUCCCUCCUACCUGGGACACGGACGUGGAAGAAAUACCCCCAGGCCGGGAUACCUGCCCAGAUGCCCCAACUCGCUAUCCCAGGCCAGAUCAGGAUCCACCUUCUCCGAUCCUUGGAGCCACGAAUCAGGCUGUCGGCAAGGGUUUUGGAGGACUUCUUGCUCUCAAGUUCGAGGAGUAAUGGAUGGUGGGAAGACCUUAAGAAUCAGACACUGAAUUCACAGCACAGGUGGUCUACCUGGAGAGACAAAAAUACUUAAUUAAAAAAUACCCCCAAAUUCCCUUUUCCUAUUGCCAGGAAAAACCCACAAGAGAAUGCCCAUUAUCGGAGAUUCUUUUGGUCAGAAACAUUUGUCAUCGCUAGUCUAUUGAGGAACAUGCUGAGUGUUGUCCGUAUGCUAUUCCAGACUUCCCAUUUUGUCCACGUGUAAUCGGAACUUUGGCCAUUCCUUUCCUAGUGACUCAGCACGAGAGAAGCCAUCAAUUUCAGGUUUAAAAUUAACUGCAAAAUGUAAGAGACAGUUCAGCCUAGGGAGAGGUAAGCAGUAAGCUCAUUCUGCAACCUUAAAAGCAUUUUGGAAUGAAAAAUCAUACUUGGAAGGCUGGAAACUGGAGGAAAAUUCUGCCAAGUUUGUUGUAAAAAAACCCCUCAUUAUGUAUCUUGAAACUCUUUAGGAAUAUUUUAUCAAAUGAUCCAUUCCCAGUGAUGUUAUUUUGGGAUCCAUUUUAUACCAGCUGACACGUUUCUAUUUAGUAUUUCACUGACUUUGAAAAUCUCAGCACCUCAAUUACAGUUUCUAAUGAAAGAAGGGAGCAGGUCUGCAAGUGGAGCCUGAUUGGUAUAUUCAGUUCUACACCCGUCUCAUUCUUGCCUUAGACGAUGGGUGAAAAUGUUGCAGGAGUUAUUUAUUUGUUUUGGAAGAAAAGAAAAGGUCAAUGGGGGUGUGGUGGCUCUCAGGUGAGUUGACUCUACGUCUGUCUUCUUCUUGGACAUUCCUGUAGAAGCUGGUCCCUGGAUACUGGCCUGGCUCAUGGAGAUGGCUUGUGAGCUUGGCUGAUCUGCUUUAGAUGAAAGCCCCACAGUCUAAGAGGUCCUGUGGUCCCUCCCACAGAUGGCAAGAGCAAGCCUCCAGUGGGUGAGCCCACCUGGAGAUGCUUCUGUGAAGGCUGAUGUCUCUUCAUGAUGCUGUGGGCUCCUUAGGAGUUGAUUCCCACCAAGAGCAGAUAAGGAAGGACCCGUUUUAAGAAGGGGGUUCACCUACAUCAUGUGCCUUCAGGCGGGGACUUCUUUCCCCAAAUAACUCCACAGUUAACCCAACUCAGGCAUCUCUAAUGAUUCCCUUUGGGCUGAGGCAGUGUAUUCUCCUAGAGACCUCCAUGACAACCACUUCUGAAACACCAUUCAAGGAGACCCCGACACGCUAACAUCACCUCCACGUUGGGUUGGCAGGAUCCAUCCUGGUUCAGGUGUUUCUGCGUGGUUAUGAUUCCCAAAUUAGGUUUGUAAGUGAUGACUUAUGAAUACCUCAAUGAGGUUAAAAUUGUAACUGGGUGCGCUGGAGAAUUAAAAUGUGAAAGGAAUGUUUUGUAUUAGUAAACCAUCCACAGCUAAUAACUUCUGUCUCCAACCAAUUUUCCCCAAUGUAUGGGGAGCUGCCACCACCACCAUCAUCAAUAUCACCGUCACCUUCAUCAUCACCAUCCCCACCAUCAGCAUCACUAUCACCUUUGUCAUCACCAUCACCAGUAUCACCGUCAUCAUCGUCAUCACCACUGCCGCCACCAUCAGCAUCACCUUCAUCACUACACCGUCAGCAUCACCAUAACUUUCAUCAUUAUUGCUUCAUUCGCAAUCUGAAUCAACAACCAUUACUCUGAGUUGGAGGAUAUAGGAAAAGGCUUUUGUAAAGCAGACUUCAAACAAAAAAAAUAUACACUCGUAACAAAUCAACCAGUGGACUUCUUAGAAGUAAUUUCCAAAUCAGUGCAGACUUUAAGCAUCCUAACUCCUUUUUAUUAUGAAGAUUCUGCAGGCUACUUAUAGGAAGGGACAGGAACAUGAGGCCUGGAAAUGGCUCUAGGUAAUGGGGAAUACUUUGAAAUAAAUUGGUGCUAGGUUUGACAUAUUCUGAAUUUUAUCCGUUCACAGUGGAGGAGAGAAAAGUGAAUCACCUGCAGAGAAAACAAAUAUAAAUUUCCAGAGGAUUUUUUCCUUUAAAUGGUGCCACUCAGAUGUGGUGCAAUCCUGCCAUGUUGUCGCAGGGCCUGUGAAGCCAAAUCAAAAGAGGGGGUCAAUUUUCACCUCUGUUAAUACUCGUGCAUCCAUCAUUGUUCUUUCUCUUCAGAAAAUAGAGAAUUUAAAGGUUAUUAGAAAACUCUGCCAUGUACUGUGCUGUCCAGGGAAAGCAGGCAGCCACUAAGGGGGAGAGAAAUAAAACUGGCAGACGCAAGGAGGCCUGUGGAAGGAGGCAGAGUGUGUGAUUACGUUGGAAUAGCUCCUGCGACAUCAAACAUGUGAAGUCUCGAGAUGAUUCCACCCCUCAGCAAUUUGAAUCACCCCCAGCACUUCCGCCCUUCCUAAAGGAGGCCGUCAAACACCGUGGAGCUGUGCCCUCCCUGAAUUCCUGACCCGCUGAACCAGCGAGCAGAAUCUACUGAACUCGGUUUGGGUCACGGCGUGCUGGGUGAUCCCCUGACGCUGCGUAAAUUGCACUGAGGCUGCCUGUGAGCAUGGAGACGUCACAGGCUGAAGCCAGCUGAAAUCGAUUGCCUCUUUAUCAUUUAUCUUUCCCUGAAAGGCAAAGAAAAAGAAACACAGCGUGUAUGAUUGUUCAAGUUUGGCAGAAAAGGAUACGUAAUUGAAAUGAAGAUCUUUGAUUUUUUGGAAACUUCAAAUGAAUAGCGUGAUCUGAACUUGCUUUUUUGUGCCUGCCCUUUUCCUUCACAUUACGAGCUCCAAACGUUAGCUCUCGUUUAACUUUUUGUUCCUUCCUAAGUACUGGCUCUAAUUCCUGGGUGGCCCCAUUGUCUCCUAAAGACAUUUGACUGUGAUACAUUCAAGGUCACUGACGAUGUUUUAAAUAUUUUCGUAGACAUUGCUUUGGUUCGGGCAAGAUUUGGAAUCCAUAAAUACAUUCUUUGAUGCACUCUCCUACUGUUUACAUAUUUCUAUUAAAAACAGCGAUUUUCCUUCUGCUUUAGAGCUAUGUUCACGCCCUUAUUUGCCUCAUAGUUUGCUGUCACAACACAAAAACUUGUUUGAAAGGAAGAAUAAUUCAUACCUGCGUCCUCAGUGGCCCCUGAAUGAGUGCUUUCCAUCAGUGGCUGUAUCGGCUCUUAGCGGAGAAAUCUGCUUUUAGCCAGAGGCACACAGUCCCUGCCGGACCUAUCACUGUGUGUGUAUUGUAGGAGAAACAAGGACCUUCAAACAUUCCCAUCUUCCCCAUCAGUGGUUCCCAUAAGCCGAAGUCACAAGGACCAGGCUUGUCUUGAGAGAAAGAUAAGGCAGGGUUUUGGCAAAGAAUGCAAAAUCACUUUUUCACCGAAGCCGGAACGUGCCUUACAGUGAGGAAUGGCGGCUCACUGCGUUGUGUAGUUGUGAGUGUGUAAUAAUAAAAGGAGCCCUACAGCAUCCGUCCGUAAGGCACUUUUUAAUUUAUUUUUUUUGUCCUGGAUGCACAAUCACCCACAGCAAGAGGCGUGCCAUUCUCACACGCGGGCCGACCUGCGCUCCUGGACGCGGUCGGGCGCGUCUCGAGGACCCGCCUGUGGCUG
ensembl:lncRNA